UCAAGGGCUCUUUUAAGAGCCACUCACAUGUCCUCUAGAGAGUGAU
rnacentral:ncRNA from 1 species